GUUAAUGCGGUUGAGCACUCGCAUGCCUUCACGCUUAUCCCCCGUUCCCCUCGUCACCCGUCGCCCCACCGCUUCCAUCGCACUUUGCUCCGAAAAAGCAAAUAUUUCAUGUUAUUUACCUAGGUGCGCCACUUUCGUUAAUUGUAUGCAAAAAAGUUGCCAGCAUUGCUGGCACACUCUCCGUGUGUGUGUGUGAGUGAAGUGAAGUUUUUGGCUCAGGUUUAUUCGCUACAACAACUUUCGGGUGGCUGGUUCAAUUACAACCCCACAGCCCACGGCCCACGGCCCAUGGCCCAUCGCCUAUCGCCUGCCGCACUAUUUCCGCUCUAAAAUUUGAGCCAACUUGCCGUUGCCAGCUGGGCUCCUCCUGGUUUAGUCCUGUUUCAGCAAAACCUGUUCCUGCGACGUUGCUGCGCCUCACUUAGUAAAUAAAUUGGCAAUCGCAUUUAAUGUGAGUUUAUGUGCGUCGCUACCUUGGGUCGACUGCUCCACUCGGCUCCUCUUCUCUGCCAUUUGGUAGUUAUUUUUUUCGGGUUCUUGGCUCGUGCUCAUGUGCAAAUCGUAAAUUCACGUUAAUGCCGAAAUUUCACGUGAUAAUGACGUGAUUACCUGGCGCACACACACAGGCCCACAAUGUGGCGAUCCCUGCACAUUUCUCCAUGUCCCCAUGUCGCCUGCCUAUCCUUGUCUGCCAGGACUUGGGGCAUAAAUACGUAACAUCCAACUAGGAACUUGGUGCUGGUAACUGGGAACUGGUAACUGGUAACUGGGUACUAGGAAUUCACUCCGCUGGCAGCUCAACUGAAAAAUGAGUGCCCCUAAAAUAGUUGCAAUGCAUUCAACUGAAUCGGAGUGCGGUGGGAGUCCUGGCCGGGAAUUUCUGGUUAGGCCCAAGCGUAAAAUUGUUGGCGUAGUUCCCAAGUGCUGUUCAAUGAGUUGGAGUUGAAAUGGCUGAAAUUGUUCAGUGCAACCGCUCCAAUCGUAAUCCAUUCCAAAUUAAAAUGGUAAAGGGGUCUGAUCUGAUUUUUUAAAGCGUUGGCUAACUGUCUCAAAGUUUCUGUGCAAUCGCGUAAUUUGGCCGUAUUCUUUGCGUUUUAUUUGUAACUUUUUAAUUACUUUUGAGUAGCGAUUUGAACUUUGCGCCUGUCGCCCGUUUACACUCUAAUUAAGCGGCCCAUUCAAGGGCUCUGUAUUUUGUAUUUAUAUCCUUCUGCUACUGCUUCUGCUCCUGCUCCUGCUUCUUAUCGCACCAGGCAAAGAAGUUCUCGGCUUUUAAAUGCAGCUGUCCCAAGUUGGUGGUGCUUUAAACGUUCGCUGGCAUUUCCGUUUCCGUUAAAUCGCUCCUAAGCCAGUUUGUUAGUUUUACCUUGACAUUUUAUGCAGUUUUUCUCUGUUAUAUGUAUGUAUUUUUUACAGCUACCUUUUGUGUGCCUUUGUUUUGCUUGUUACCUGCGCGCAAUUUUUUCCAGUUACACAGAGAAAAUAAUCUUUAGGAAAUGGCGAGAUAAUGAUAUCAUCCAACUAAUAUUUGGAUGUGUAAAUAAAGGCUUCAAAUAACUCAGCCUAAGCCAGUGCUGUCAUACUUGUGGAGUGUUAAUAAAUAUGUUUAAUUAAAGAAGCUUGAUUUUUUUCAUACAUUUUUGAAAACUAUACGCCUUAGCAAAAAUAAAUUCAUGAACAUCGCUUUCUGACUUCAUACUUUGUGGUCAAUAUUUAGAUACUUUUUAUUUUAGGGCCUUGAAUGGAAUUUCCUUCGUGGACAAGAAAAGAAGUGGUUCGAGUCUGCAACUUCAAAGUGAAUUAUUUCGCCGUGUGUAGUGGCAAUAGCAGCAGCUGCUUGUGGAACAACUUUAACAAUAUUUGCUUUGCUGCAACACUCCCCCGCCCCGCCCCUGUUCGGCGAUCCGUGGCCUUUGUUCGUCCCCGGACUCCUUUCACUUUGAGUUCCCUGCUGUCCGCACCCGAAUCAUGAAUCAUUUCUACCGCUGCACCCACCAACUCUCAUCAGCUCCUGCCGUUCUUUUGGCCACAUCUAAGUGUUGUUUAAUGCAGCUUUUCAACUCAUUCGCUUUGACAUACACGUGUGAGCCGGGUUCUCGGUUCUCGGUUCUAGGUUCUAGGUUCCGGCUUCCACUUUCCACUCUCCUCUCCACUUUCUACUUUUUAUUUGCCAACCUGCCAACCUUGCAGCCUUUGCAUGUAGCAUCAGAUUUGCUUAUGCAAAUGCGUCGGCGAGGAGGGGAUUUGCCAUUCGCCAUCGCACGUCCUCGAUCGAAAUGUUUACGGUUUCUAUUCGAAGAGGGCUGAUGUCAUAGCUUGUCGAUAGCCAUUUUAAAUAAUUGCCACCGCAAUAAAUUAUUAAAUCAACAACAAUUGCUCACUGGCCGGCCAAAGAGAAUCAAUCAAUGCUUUUUUGUGGGGGGAGUCGAAAAUCGAGUGAAAUGAAGUGAUGUGGAGUGGAUUCAUAAGCUGACAAAAUGCCAGCUCACUCCACGCACCUUAGGUGUAUUAUAACGAGUUUCAUGACAGCAAUUAUGCAAGGUCGACACCACACUCCCCCUCUCACACACACACUCACACACACACACCCGCAACUGUGAAUACUUAUUAUUACGCAUACGCAGUGGUGGCGGAGAGGGCUAAUGUGUGGUUUGGGCGUUGCUUUUCGAGGGCUUUGUAAUCGAUAUUACAAUGGCAUUGUGUUAGGGCCUCGAUAUGCUGGCAGUACAGCAGUAGAGUAGUACAGCAGUACAGGUAUUUUUUCUGACUUUUUAUCGCUCCUGCAUCGCGUUCAAUGGAUCUGGGCAUAUAAUCGAAGGGGUCGUGUUUGCCCGGGGGAGUUGACAAUGCAUGUUUAAUGUACUUUGCCAGUAAUUUGUAAUUAAUAAUACAUGAGCUGCAUGUUGCCGCCCGUUGCCCGCCGCCUGAGAUUUUACCAUAUGCCAGUGCAAUCGGCUUUGGCAUUGGCUUUAACUCUGGCACCCACAUGCAAUCUAUACCUACGUAUAGUAAUAAUUCGUUGCCUACAUUCCUGCGUUCCCCUUUGAUUUCACUUCGAUUUCAGUUGAGUUCAAUUCGUUUUGAUUCCGUGUUACAUGUCGGCAGUUUGCCAUGUGCCAGCUGCCUGACAGCCAGAUCACCCAGCCAGCUGCUGUUGGUACACUUUAUGUCAUUUUUUGAUUUAUGUGUGAUUAGUAUUGGCUGUCCUUCGUCUGUUCGGCUGUCAGUCGGAGCCCAGAAUGGGGCAAGUGAGAUUUUCCAUUUGUCUGGCUCUCUUGCCAGUUGUCAUUUCGUAUGAAUACAUUACAAAAUCCGAAGUCUGUCUCCGCUUCACCCACUUUCAACGGCUCUCGGUUGACUUUUUGUUCCAGCAGCAGCAGCAGUGCAGCUGUAGAAGUCGAGGUCGGAUUCGGAUUCGGUUUCACCCCUUGAAUUACACGCCUCGAUGUUUCUGUAAAAUGUGCAAAUGAAGUCGCCGUAAGAAAUUCCCAGGCUGACACACAUGGAGCGAGAGACUUGAACAAUAUAAACAAUGACAGGCCAUAAAAUAUGCAAGCACCCUAAAUACCUGCAAGGCCCUAGGUGGAUUCUGAUUCAGUUUCAGUCCUUCCGACGUUCCUGCUCUGCUGCUCAUGCUGCUCCUGCUGCCGAUGGUUGUGUAUAAUUAAAGUAUCAAAUGUGUUAAUUGAUUAUGCAAUUAGCGGACCGGGCGUGUUAGUUAAUUAAGCGGCGAUGAAUAAAUUUAUGGUAUUUAUAUA